CUGAUAAAACUUUUUUUCUUCAUUACAGAGGAAACGAAAGCGGGCAGAUGAUCCAACGCCAGAAUCUGCCAUGGAACAACCAGAAAUCCCUGGCAAAAACACCUGCCAAGAGGAGAAUACAGAGCCAGACUUGAAGCCGGCGAUAGAGAACUGCCGGGUAAGCGUAAGAGAGGGGAGGAGAGUUGGGGCAAAUGAAAAUCACCCUAUAUUUUAUACAAGACUGUAUAUUAGCUUCUUUAUUACAACGAGCACAUUUUUCUCUUACCUUUUC